rnacentral:pre_miRNA from 1 species
AGUGAGAUACCUGGGUCAAAUGGUUCAAUUACAAGUUUUCUGAUAAAUCUCCAUACUGCUUUCCAGAAUGGUUGCACCAAUUUGCAGUCCCACCAGCAAU